rnacentral:rRNA from 1 species
UACGAAGGGGGCUAGCGUUGUUCGGAAUCACUGGGCGUAAAGCGCACGUAGGCGGAUCUUUAAGUCAGGGGUGAAAUCCCGAGGCUCAACCUCGGAACUGCCUUUGAUACUGGGGAUCUCGAGUCCGGGAGAGGUGAGUGGAACUGCGAGUGUAGAGGUGAAAUUCGUAGAUAUUCGCAAGAACACCAGUGGCGAAGGCGGCUCACUGGCCCGGAGCUGACGCUGAGGUGCGAAAGCGUGGGGAGCAAACAGG